CCUACGGGAGGCAGCAGUAGGGAAUAUUGCUCAAUGGGGGAAACCCUGAAGCAGCAACGCCGCGUGGAGGAUGACGGUUUUCUGAUUGUAAACUCCUUUUGUUAGAGAAGAUAAUUACGGUAUCUAACGACUAAUCACCGGCUAACUCCGUGCCAGCCGCCGCGGUACUACGGCGGGUGCAAGCGUUACUCGGAAUCACUGGGCGUAAAGCGCGCGUAGGCGGGAUAGCAAGUCAGAUGGGAAAUCCUAUGGCGUAACCAUAGAACUGCAUCUGAAACUGGUAUGCUAGAGUAUGGGAGAGGUAGGUGGAAUUCGUGGUGUAGGGGUAAAAUGCGUAGAGAUCAAGAGGAAUACUCAUUGCGAAGGCGACCUGCUAGAGCAUAACUGACGCUGAUGCGCGAAGGCGUGGGGAGCGAACAGGAUUAGAUACCCCUGUAGUC
rnacentral:rRNA from 1 species